rnacentral:lncRNA from 1 species
GAGGUACCCACUUCUCCUAUUAUUACUUCCAUAGCUCCUAUUCCCACAGCUACUACUGAUGUACCCCCUGAGCCGACACAUAUGAGUUCUCCACCAUUAAAGACACACACAGAUAGUACUCAGUCAGCGCAGGGAUCAGGUACCGGGACAGUUCCUCAAACCACUCUUGCACAGGGGUUGUUGGCUGAGAUCAGCUCAGAGCGACAUGGUGUCAAGCAUAUGUUGAUUGAUCACUUUAAGAAGGACCAUGGAAUGAAAGUUGGAUCUACCAUGAGAUUUGCUAUUGAGGACUUGGUUUUUAAGCUCUUUGGAGAGGGACCUUCUGUGAGUAAGACUCCUACGCAUACACCUUCACCUAGUCCUUCUAUCACAGCUCCUACACACAAUAAGGUGAAAGAACAUAUACAGAGAGACAUGGAUGGCAUGGGCCUUGGAAACUGCA